GACGAACGCUGGCGGCGUGCUUAACACAUGCAAGUCGAACGGUGAAGCUCCAGCUUGCUGGAGUGGAUCAGUGGCGAACGGGUGAGUAACACGUGAGCAACCUGCCCCUGACUCUGGAAUAAGCGCUGGAAACGGCGUCUAAUACUGGAUACGAGAAGGGUCCGCAUGGGCACUUUCUGGAAAGUUUUUCGGUUGGGGAUGGGCUCGCGGCCUAUCAGCUUGUUGGUGAGGUAAUGGCUCACCAAGGCGACGACGGGUAGCCGGCCUGAGAGGGCGACCGGCCACACUGGGACUGAGACACGGCCCAGACUCCUACGGGAGGCAGCAGUGGGGAAUAUUGCACAAUGGGCGAAAGCCUGAUGCAGCGACGCCGCGUGAGGGAUGACGGCCUUCGGGUUGUAAACCUCUUUCAGCAGGGAAGAAGCGAAAGUGACGGUACCUUCAGAAGAAGCACCGGCUAACUACGUG
rnacentral:rRNA from 1 species